UCCUAGUCUGGUAUUGCCAGACUUUCUGUCACAGUACUGCGAAGGAGGGUCUUGCUAGUCCAUACAGCAUUCCGGGA